rnacentral:rRNA from 1 species
GACGAACGCUGGCGGCGUGCCUAAUACAUGCAAGUCGAGCGAAGUUUUUCUGGUGCUUGCACUAGAAAAACUUAGCGGCGAACGGGUGAGUAACACGUAAAGAACCUGCCUCAUAGACUGGGACAACUAUUGGAAACGAUAGCUAAUACCGGAUAACAGUAUUUCUCGCAUGGGAGAUAUUUAAAAGUUGGUUAUGCUAACACUGUGAGAUGGCUUUGCGGUGCAUUAGCUAGUUGGUGGGGUAAAGGCCCACCAAGGCGACGAUGCAUAGCCGACCUGAGAGGGUGAUCGGCCACACUGGGACUGAGACACGGCCCAGACUCCUACGGGAGGCAGCAGUAGGGAAUCUUCCGCAAUGGGCGAAAGCCUGACGGAGCAACGCCGCGUGAGUGAAGAAGGAUUUCGGUUCGUAAAGCUCUGUUGUUAGGGAAGAAUGGAUAUGUAGUAACUAUACAUGUAAGAGACG